UACGGGGGGAGCAAGCGUUGUUCGGAUUUACUGGGCGUAAAGGGCGCGUAGGCGGUCGUGACAAGUCACUUGUGAAAUCUCCGGGCUUAACUCGGAACGGUCAAGUGAUACUGUCGGACUAGAGUACAGAAGGGGCAACUGGAAUUCUCGGUGUAGCGGUGAAAUGCGUAGAGAUCAGGAAGAACACCAGUGGCGAAGGCGCUCUGCUAGGCCGUAACUGACACUGAGGGACGAAAGCUAGGGGAGCGAAUGGG
rnacentral:rRNA from 1 species